rnacentral:lncRNA from 1 species
GGGGUCUUCCUGGCACAUUGUUUUGCCCUCUACCCCCACCCCUAGUGUCCUAGAUGUCUCAUGGCCUUCUAAGUUUUUUGAGCUGAAAAAUUACAUCAUCUCAUCUUUUUUGUGGGUUAUGCUGCUCCAGAAUUCAUUCUGAGGGACAGUUAAGUGGCAUAACUGAUGGAGCACUGAACCUGGAGUCAGGAAAACUUGGACUUCAAUUCCACCCUCAGGCUCUUACUACCAGCUAUAUAACCAGGGGAAAAAAGAAGACUGAGAUAAACUUCUAUGUAAAGAAAACACACCGUGUGUAAUAUAAUGGAAAUGAUAGCAACAGCCUGAAAUGAAAUGUGAAAAAAAUUAAAUCAUCCAGCUGAAAGUGCCUUAUUAUUUUAUAUUAUACCUUCUCAUUCUGAAUAACUACUG